rnacentral:rRNA from 1 species
GUCUACAGCCAUGUCACCCUGAACAAGCCCGAUUCCAGCUGAUCUCGGAAGCUAAGCAGGAUCAGGCCUGGUUAGUACUUGGAUGGGAGACCACCUAGGAAGACCAGGUGCUGUAGGUG